GUCCAGCUGACGAGUCCUAAAUAGGACGAAACGGACGUCGUAGAU
rfam:Schistosoma rodhaini strain Burundi genome assembly, scaffold: SROB_scaffold0001884